rnacentral:tRNA from 2 species
GGUUGUAUAGUGUAGCGGUUAUCACUCCGGAUUCUGAUUCUCCUCAGGACAUUCCGGCAACCCCGGUUCGAUUCCGGGUACGACCU